AGCUCACAGGUGUCAUCUGAGAUCUUCCAGGAUGUCUAGAUGCAGCUGGUAAACGUGACAUAGGACCUGUAGCAGAUCUGUUCACUUCAGGAACUUGUAGGGGAGGCUGUCUAAGGUAUUCUGCUGGACUUGCUUCUCUCCAGUUCUGGUUUUUGAUUCUGCUAGCAGCUUGCAGGUGUCUGUCCUUCAUAGCCAGUGUUUGCUUUCAGGUCCCCAUAAGUGAGGAAAAUGGAACUACCCUAUGAAACAAAACCUUUUGAAACUGGCAAACAACAGACAGUAAUUUCUUGACAGGCAAAAGAGCAGUAUCAAACUUGAAUAAAUCAACUGUGGAUGCCCCUUUUUUGAAUAAG
rnacentral:lncRNA from 1 species